rnacentral:rRNA from 1 species
GACAAUGGGCGAGAGCCUGAUCCAGCCAUGCCGCGUGCAGGAAGACUGCCCUAUGGGUUGUAAACUGCUUUUAUACAGGAAGAAUAAGCCUUACGUGUAAGGUGAUGACGGUACUGUAAGAAUAAGGACCGGCUAACUCCGUGCCAGCAGCCGCGGUAAUACGGAGGGUCCGAGUGUUAUCCGGAAUUAUUGGGUUUAAAGGGUCCGUAGGCGGAUGAUUAAGUCAGGGGUGAAAGUUUGCAGCUCAACUGUAAAAUUGCCUUUGAUACUGGUUAUCUUGAGUUGUAUUGAAGUAGGCGGAAUAUGUAGUGUAGCGGUGAAAUGCAUAGAUAUUACAUAGAACACCAAUUGCGAAGGCAGCUUACUAAGUACUAACUGACGCUGAUGGACGAAAGCGUGGGUAGCGAACAGGAUUAGAUACCCUGGUAGUCCACGCCGUAAACGAUGGAUACUAGCUGUUCGGGGCCUUGAGCUCUGAGCGGCUAAGCGAAAGUGAUAAGUAUCCCACCUGGGGAGUACGGUCGCAAGACUGAAACUCAAAGGAAUUGACGGGGGCCCGCACAAGCGGUGGAGCAUGUGGUUUAAUUCGAUGAUACGCGAGGAACCUUACC